GAUGAACGCUGGCGGCGUGCUUAACACAUGCAAGUCGAACGAAGCUGUUAGAAGGAAGUCUUCGGAUGGAAUUUUAACAGACUUAGUGGCGGACGGGUGAGUAACGCGUGGAUAACCUGCCUUAUACAGGGGGAUAACGGAGAGAAAUUUCCGCUAAGACCGCAUAAGACCACAGCACCGCAUGGUGCAGGGGUAAAAUAUUAAUAGGUAUAAGAUGGAUCCGCGUCCGAUUAGCUUGUUGGUGAGGUAGAGGCUCACCAAGGCGACGAUCGGUAGCCGGCCUGAGAGGGUGAACGGCCACAUUGGGACUGAGACACGGCCCAAACUCCUACGGGAGGCAGCAGUGGGGAAUAUUGGACAAUGGGGGAAACCCUGAUCCAGCGACGCCGCGUGAGUGAAGAAGUAUUUCGGUAUGUAAAGCUCUAUCAGCAGGGAAGAAAAUGAACGGAACCUGG
rnacentral:rRNA from 1 species